rnacentral:rRNA from 1 species
UAGCGGAGGAAAAGAAACCAACAGGGAUUGCCUCAGUAACGGCGAGUGAAGCGGCAAAAGCUCAAAUUUGAAAUCUAGCACCUUCGGUGUUCGAGUUGUAAUUUGAAGAUGGUAACCUUGGGUUUGGCUCUUGUCUAUGUUCCUUGGAACAGGACGUCAUAGAGGGUGAGAAUCCCGUCUGAUGAGAUGCCCAUUCCUAUGUAAGGUGCUAUCGAAGAGUCGAGUUGUUUGGGAAUGCAGCUCUAAGUGGGUGGUAAAUUCCAUCUAAAGCUAAAUAUUGGCGAGAGACCGAUAGCGAACAAGUACAGUGAUGGAAAGAUGAAAAGAACUUUGAAAAGAGAGUGAAAAAGUACGUGAAAUUGUUGAAAGGGAAGGGCAUUAGAUCAGACUUGGUGUUUUACGAUUAUCUUCUCUUCUUGAGUUGUGCACUCGUAUUUCACUGGGCCAGCAUCGAUUCGGAUGGCAAGAUAAUGGCAGUUGAAUGUGGCUUCACUUCGGUGGAGUGUUAUAGCUUCUGCUGAUAUUGCCUGUCUGGAUCGAGGGCUGCGUCUUUGACAGA